UGAGUAACACGUGGGGAACCUGCCCCUAAGUCUGGGAUACCAUUUGGAAACAGGUGCUAAUACCGGAUAAUAAAGCAGAUCGCAUGAUCAGCUUUUGAAAGGCGGCGUAAGCUGUCGCUAAGGGAUGGCCCCGCGGUGCAUUAGCUAGUUGGUAAGGUAACGGCUUACCAAGGCGACGAUGCAUAGCCGAGUUGAGAGACUGAUCGGCCACAUUGGGACUGAGACACGGCCCAAACUCCUACGGGAGGCAGCAGUAGGGAAUCUUCCACAAUGGACGCAAGUCUGAUGGAGCAACGCCGCGUGAGUGAAGAAGGUUUUCGGAUCGUAAAGCUCUGUUGUUGGUGAAGAAGGAUAGAGGUAGUGACUGGCCUUUAUUUGACGGUAAUCAACCAGAAAGUCACGGCUAACUACGUGCCAGCAGCCGCGGUAAUACGUAGGUGGCAAGCGUUGUCCGGAUUUAUUGGGCGUAAAGCGAGCGCAGGCGGAAAAAUAAGUCUAAUGUGAAAGCCCUCGGCUUAACCGAGGAACUGCAUCGGAAACUGUUUUUCUUGAGUGCAGAAGAGGAGAGUGGAACUCCAUGUGUAGCGGGUGGAAUGCGUAGAUAUAUGGAAGAACACCAGUGGCCGAAGGCGGCUCCUCUGGGUCUGCAACUGACGCUGAGGCUCGAAAGCAU
rnacentral:rRNA from 1 species